UAACUUCAGCUGAUGUAUGUGCAUAGUAUAGAGGUUGACUGCCCAUGAAAUUUGAGGAUUUGCUCAAAGCUUCAUGUUUGAAUGAGAACUGGUCCUGUUUCCUUGUGUGAAUUUGGAAACCUUUUUUGGAUUUCACUCCUUUUGAACUUCAAAGAGGCUGGCUUUUUUGGGUUGAUGGUGCUUUUAUUCUGUGUCUUUCUUGUAAGCUAAAGUGAAUAGAUC
rnacentral:lncRNA from 1 species